GGCUGCGUAAGGGAGACCAUGAUGUCAUGGGCUUCUCUUUUCCUGCCCUUCCCACAGUUCCAGGAAGAGAAGCGCCGGAGAGAAAUCGAGGAACGCCGGCGGUUCCCCCUCGAGCAGCGACUCCGAGAACACAUCAUUGGCCAAGAGAGCGCCAUCGCCACCGUCGGAGCUGGGCGUGUGGCGUCAGGGUCAGGUGGUGGGCUGGCUGGCCUAGUCAGGAGAGGGCUCCCCCAUGCCGAAUGGCCUUGAAAAGUCACCUUGGGACGUUUCUUGACCCUACUAGGGAAUAUCAUCAGUGCUGGAAGGGAGCGGAGUUUGCACAGAGGGAGACAACGGUGGGUCCUUUUGUGCUUUCUGAGCCUGCCUGUUUCAUUGCAGACAUUUUCUGACCAAACCAGGGAAUACCAUCAGUG
rnacentral:lncRNA from 1 species